UGAGGCAAUAAUAUGAUUCGAACGCAGAUAGGCCGCUCAGAAAAAUCUCCACGGCUUUCAAGGAACUAGCAACCACCGUGGCUUCUCCGAACUGUGUAGUUUCUCUUUUUAGUUGCUGAUGAUUGCAACAAGAGGUGAUAACUCUUUAAAUGAUCCAGCAUCCAAGUCUUAUGCUUAACUGUUUGCUCCUCACCAUGAAUGGGCUAUACGGAAAGCUGUGGCUUUAGGGAUGUACGCUCUUCCUACAAGAACUCACCUACUUAAGAUGCUCAAUGAGGAAGAAGCGGAGGCUAAGAUACAGAUGGAAAGCUAUGUCAAUGCAUCGGCACCUAAUCACAUAUCUUGAUAAUUUAUUCCUCUCCUAGCAACUCGGUAUGGAUUGGUGAAGAGUUUACUAGUAUCGCUCUUUGACAGUCUUUGUCACAAAAAAUAACCAUAUAUGGUUCUAUCAACUCAUGUAAUUAUAUAACAAGGACCAAACCAGAGCUGUUGAAAAAAGAAUAAAUUUAUGCUAUUCUAGUUUGUGGUGUGUGGCUUGGCUUGUCUUCUGGCAAGAACACAAUGUGUUAAUGUGAACGUCUAGAGACGGUAAAAUGUUACCAUAACAAGGACCAAAC